AUGGAAGAUGCCUCUGGAACUUUUGGGUUCUUUUUUGGGGGCGAUAUGGAAGCAGCUAGCUCCCUUUCCCUUAUUACGUUACCAUUUCUCUCCGCUAUUCUUCGCUUAGAAGGGCUUGAGAACGAAAUAAAAGUCAAUCCUCUCACCAAUGAAGCGCAUAGGGAUAGGAUGCUCAAGCUCCUUGAUGAGAUUAUUAUCGAUCCGAACGAUCCACAGAAUGCAGGGGUAAUCCUUGCUUCCAGGAUACGCGUCGAGAUUAAUAAAAUCGUGGAUGAUAUCGAUCCGUAUUGGCUAACCGACCUUUCCUCUAAUAUAAGCGCGCUUUCUGAAGCAGUGCAUGGAGGGGUGGAAUGGGAUCAUCGGGUCGAAUAUCGCCGUCAGGCUUUGGCGGAUUUGCAAGAAUUUGGUGCAAAUGGUUUGGUCUUUAAAAGGGCUGUGAGGGACGUGUGGCCUUCGUCGAUGGGAAAUCCAUCGUAUGCGUUACAAAUCCACUAG
rnacentral:rRNA from 1 species